rnacentral:tRNA from 1 species
GUAUGGAAAGCGAGAAAUUUGCAUACGGCUUCGGCCCGUAUCUUGGGGGUGUUUAAGUCCUUCUUCAUAUA